AACGAACGCUGGCGGCAUGCCUAACACAUGCAAGUCGAACGAGACCUUCGGGUCUAGUGGCGCACGGGUGCGUAACGCGUGGGAACCUGCCCUUAGGUUCGGAAUAACUCCCCGAAAGGGGUGCUAAUUCCGGAUAAUGUCUUCGGACCAAAGAUUUAUCGCCUUUGGAUGGGCCCGCGUUGGAUUAGCUAGUUGGUAGGGUAAAAGCCUACCAAGGCGACGAUCCAUAGCUGGUCUGAGAGGAUGAUCAGCCACACUGGGACUGAGACACGGCCCAGACUCCUACGGGAGGCAGCAGUGGGGAAUAUUGGACAAUGGGCGAAAGCCUGAUCCAGCAAUGCCGCGUGAGUGAUGAAGGCCUUAGGGUUGUAAAGCUCUUUUACCCGGGAUGAUAAUGACAGUACCGGGAGGAUAAGCUCCGGCUAACUCCGUG
rnacentral:rRNA from 1 species